rnacentral:rRNA from 1 species
GGUAGCUAAAUGCGGAAGAGAUAAGUGCUGAAAGCAUCUAAGCACGAAACUUGCCCCGAGAUGAGUUCUCCCUGAGACUAUAAGUCUCCUGAAGGAACGUUAAAGACUAUGACGUUGAUAGGUCGGGUGUGUAAGUGUAGCGAUACAUUGAGCUAACCGAUACUAAUGAACCGUGAGGCUUAACCUU